AGUGAAUAGAUACCCGGGUAGUCCAUGCUGUAAACGAUGGAUGCUAGCUGUGAUGCGUAUCGACCCGCGUCGUAGCGAAGCUAACGCGUUAAGCAUCCCGCCUGUGGAGUACGGCCGCAAGGCUAAAACAUAAAGGAAUUGACGGGGACCCGCACAAGCGGUGGAGCGUGUUGUUUAAUUCGAUGGUAAGCGAAGAACCUUACCCAGGUUUGACAUCCUUGGAAGUUCUGCGAAAGCAGAGUGUGCCUUCGGGAACCAAGUGACAGGUGAUGCAUGGCCGUCUUCAGCUCGUGUCGUGAGACGUUAGGUUAAGUCCUUCAACGAGCGCAACCCUUAUAGUUAGUUGUAUUUUCUAGCUAGACUGCCCUGGUAACAGGGAGGAAGGAGGGGACGAUGUCAGGUCAGUAUCUCCCUUAUAUCUGGGGCUACAAACACGCUACAAUGGCCGGUACAAAGGGAAG
rnacentral:rRNA from 1 species